CCUGCCUCCCGCACCGUUCGCCUCCCACGCCGGCCGCACGCCUCCCCUCCCUCGCCGGCCUGCCUCCCGCACUCGUUUGAACGCCGCCGCCGCCUGUUCUCUUGUGCUUCCCGGCAUACACAUGCGACCGUGAGCAGCCCCCCCCCCCCACCGCGCGGCGGUCCUCCUCUGCUGCCCCGAGAACGCCGCUGCCCACCGGUCUGCCUCUCUGCUGCCCAAGAACGCCGCCCGCUGGUCUGCCUCCGCUGCCCAGUAUAUGAUACAGUUUUUGUUCCAUACACAGUAGAAUUUGAUGCUUGUGGUUAUGAUUGUACGCAUUAUGUUUGUAGCUGUACUAGACAGUGGUGAAGAUCAGUCAAUUUUGCGGCAAAAGCAUAUUUGUAGACAAUAUUCAGGGUGGUGUUGUGGGUGCAUUCGUAUAUUGCUAUUUUCCAAAGUGUUUUUGUGACAACGAAAGGAUUGAACAUCAGUCAUGAUCAUUUUUAACCUUGUUUUUUCACUUUGUUUGGUGAUUACAGUACAAAUCCGCGCGACCGUGCAAUAGUGGACAGCUUACACAUUUAAUCAUAAUUGUUCUGCUCAAUUGUGACACUCUGUAUUUCUAGGACUCUAUUUGAAACAUGCUUCUUUCUGAAACCCUAUCAAGGUAAAGACAUUCUUCUUUGUCUUUCACUGAUUCAAGUAGUAGGGGAAAAAACCUUCUCACUCUUUACACAGAUUUGCUAUAUAUAUGGGAACCAGGUGGAAGUAUCCUCCACAUAUUAGUCGAUUUUAAUUGGUUUGUACAGGUGCCACUGAUACAACACUCGACGAGUUCGAUUUGGCGCAGGAUCAAAGUUGUUUGUUGUUCUGUUCCAUGAUUCCUAGGAUUUUUUUGUCUCAUCAAAGGUGGCCACAUUAAGAUUCAGAUUUUUUUCACUUAAUGAUGAGAUGUUUAGUCAUCCUCCUGGGGCUCCAAUCUGUGAGUAUGUUGGUGUUUUGAGGAGGACUGAACAAGUGGAAGUUUUGCUACAGAACAACUUCAUAUUUGUCAUUGACUGUCUUGAAACUAUGAAGGGUUUAGAUGACGGGAGAAAGGGCAGGGCUUGAUAUGCAUAUGCCAUCACUUCAAGCUGAGAAUAAUUCUGAGGCACCAACGGCACCGGAGUACUGCAUUGAUGUUGGCUCUGUUGGAAGUUUCGCAAGGUUCAUAAACCACAGCUGCAACCCUAACCUCUUCGUCCAAUGUAUCCUAACCAAUCACCACGACGUCAAGCUAGAAAAGGUGAUGCUUUUUGUUGCAAACAUGAUACUUCCACUUCAGGUGCUUUGAUAUGACUAUGGCUAUGUCUUGAACAGUGUCGUUUCUGCGGAUGGUGAAAUCGUCAACCUGCCAUGUUACUGUGGUGCCCCAGACUGCCAGAAGCGACUCUACUAGCGGAUCUCCUCCGUUUGGGUUCUGGAGGAAGCAGGAUUAUAGGUAGUAUUGGGGGGAUGAAUGUGGCAAUGCCUGCUGUGUACAUGACAAGCAAGACAUCCUAUAAUUAUUAGUGAAAGAAGUGUGUUCUCAUUUUGUGUAGGGUAGAUGGCAUGCUGGACAUGCUAAUUAUAUUUAGAAAAUAAAGUUUGCCUGGGUGACACGCCCGCUGGUCACGAUGGCAUGAUAUUUUGUGAACAACUCAUCCAUAUAAGUUGAUGGAGGAUUUAACAGGUAGCACAUGACAUCGACAGCUGCGACGUCGGGAACUCCCUUGCAGUUGUCGAAUAUGUCAAUGAAAUUUACAGCUUCUAUAGACGGACCGAGGAGUUGUGCUGUGUGUCCCCCACCUACAUGGCACACCAAACUGAUAUCAAUGAGAAAAUGCGCGAUAUUCUGAUUUACUGGUUGAUUGAGUGAUGGAUGGUUUCAAGCAAAGAAAACAGUGUCAUGUUGUACUUGUACAUACUGGAACUGUAGGCAAAACAAAGUGAUGGAUGGUCUACAAGAUGAUCUGGAUGAAUUCAUCUCCAGGGUAAAUGAGCCAACCAGUGUGCAUGCCGUUUGGUUGGAAAUAAUAUUGGCUCGAAAAUGUAUGAGUGCAUUAUUGACAUCUGACAUCGCCAAAUCCGUCGUUCAUGCUUCCUUGUUAAGCAUAUCUUUGUAAAUUCUCCUGGGGACAAAAAGUAUAACUUGCUAUUUGCGACAUUCCCACUACAUGAGGUUCACAUAUAUAAUCGUCUAUUUUUUUAGUUUGUGAUCAAUCAAAAUGCUUAGAGUUUUUUAAAGCACCAUCAAUAAUCUCUAUUUAUAUAGAGAUAAGUAAUGAAAACAAUAGCAUUCAACAACUUUAAACCUAACUCUCAGUAGCUGCCUGCAAAUGUGGUCCAGACCUCCCAUGCUAACUUUGAAAGUAUGGUACCAUGUCAUAUGAUGAAUGUUUAGCUUGGUUGUUUUUUGUUGUUGUCAUUUUCUUACACUAGCAUCAAGAACUAUAAGAAUAUGGUAGUAUGACAGACACGUAGGCAAGGUGUAAUUGAUUGGGAGUGGAUGUAUUUUUAAAAAAUGAAUUAGUCGAGUGCAAGCUUACUAGUUACUAGAUAAAGAUAAACAAAAGUAGAAACAAGAAACAACAAAGAAAAGCUAACGGAUGAAAGAAAAAAAAUACAUGGCUGCUUGAGGCGAGUCGUAUGUUCGUCUUGCUACGAGCUGAGACACAGACGCUCCCAACGUGGAUAUCCAGAGCCCAUGCAAAAGCACGCACUAUGAUCACGGCUGAGAGAGAGAGAUGACCAAAAGCAAGAACAAAGAGCAAUUAAGAUGUUCAUGGAUGCGGGCCAACCCAGUAAUAAUUGAGAAAAUUAAAAAGAAGUGAAGAAAAAGGAGAAAGAAAAAAAUGAAUCACGAACCUUCCAGAAGGUUUUCAUUUUUUUUGAGACAAUUCCAGAAGGUUUUCAAAACCGGAAACCCGGGAUCGCAUGAACCAUUAAUGGGCCGGCCACCUCAAAACACUCUUUGAUCUCUUUGUGCGUGUCCCCGACAAUUUGCUGCAGUGAGUGCCAAAUAUGAUGUUUUUUUUUCUUUUGGGAGCAGUUUCAGAAAUCUUCUGUGGGCCGGUUUGGAUAGGUUUUUAGAGCUUCCGCACGGAUAUUUCCCAUGUUAUAUUUUUCUGUAUGUUUUCUAUAGCGGUUUUCAUCAUGGUUAUUUUCUUUUGGUUUUCACUCGUUCUUUCUAUUCGUUUUUAUUCUCUUCUUAUUUUUCCUAUAUCUUCAUUUUAAAAAUGUAGAAUAUUUUUCAAAUACACGAUGAACAUUUUUAAGAUACACGUUGAACAUUUUAUUUUCCAAAAACACAUUAAAUUUUACUUAAUUCACGGUGAACUUUGUCUUUAGCAUAGAUUGAACGUUUUUUAUAAAUCCCAUGAAAUUUUGUUUGAAUGUGCAAACAUUUAUUAACUUUAAUGUCAUGAACAUAUUUUUUUAAAUCUCAGUAACAUUAUUUAAUUGAUACAAAACACUUUUUAAUUACAAUAAUACUUAUUCUAAUUGUAUUAUUAUUACUUUAAUGUCAUGAACAUA